rnacentral:rRNA from 1 species
UGGGGAAUAUUGCACAAUGGGCGCAAGCCUGAUGCAGCCAUGCCGCGUGUAUGAAGAAGGCCUUCGGGUUGUAAAGUACUUUCAGCGGGGAGGAAGGGAGUAAAGUUAAUACCUUUGCUCAUUGACGUUACCCGCAGAAGAAGCACCGGCUAACUCCGUGCCAGCAGCCGCGGUAAUACGGAGGGUGCAAGCGUUAAUCGGAAUUACUGGGCGUAAAGCGCACGCAGGCGGUUUGUUAAGUCAGAUGUGAAAUCCCCGGGCUCAACCUGGGAACUGCAUCUGAUACUGGCAAGCUUGAGUCUCGUAGAGGGGGGUAGAAUUCCAGGUGUAGCGGUGAAAUGCGUAGAGAUCUGGAGGAAUACCGGUGGCGAAGGCGGCCCCCUGGACGAAGACUGCCGCUCAGGGGCGAAAGCGUGGGGAGCAAACAGG